rnacentral:lncRNA from 1 species
CCAGCACACUAACGCCCCACACUUCCUUGAGACACAGGGCGGUCAUCACUCCCCCGAGUUCCUCCGGAGGAAGAUGAUGUAUGCAAUUUGGACCCUGUGACUAACCAGGGGUCUCUCCACCCAGCAGUCAGAGAGAACCACAUUUGCAGUUUUUCUGAGAUUUGUCAGCAUGGGAACGACUCAAUCCAGGGAAGUUUCUCAUGCAUAACAUCAGAGAGCUAGAAAAACUUUCCUGCUUGUCAGAGGGAUCACAUGGCAAAUAAAGUGAAGCAUAAGGGACCCCGACUUCUUCAGACAUUGCUGUUGGACUUGAUCUUCAUUCGUGUCUCUGCUGAACCUCAGAGGGAUAUGGCCACUUGUGUUAAAAUAACUUCAUCCACAAACCCAUUUCUGUGAAGCCUACACGCGGAUGGGUUACUGCUGUAAUGCGGUGUGUGA